rnacentral:rRNA from 1 species
GACGAACGCUGGCGGCGUGCUUAACACAUGCAAGUCGAACGGAAAGGCCUUUUCGGAGGUACUCGAGUGGCGAACGGGUGAGUAACACGUGGGUGAUCUGCCCUGCACUCUGGGAUAAGCCUGGGAAACUGGGUCUAAUACCGGAUAGGACCGCACUUUAGUGUGUGUGGUGGAAAGUUUUUUCGGUGUAGGAUGAGCCCGCGGCCUAUCAGCUUGUUGGUGGGGUAAUGGCCUACCAAGGCGGCGACGGGUAGCCGGACUGAGAGGUUGGUCGGCCACAUUGGGACUGAGAGACGGCCCAGACUCCUACGGGAGGCAGCAGUGGGGAAUAUUGCACAAUGGGCGCAAGCCUGAUGCAGCGACGCCGCGUGGGGGAUGACGGCCGUCGGGUUGUAAACUCCUUUCGCCAGGGACGAAGCGUUUUGUGACGGUACCUGGAGAAGAAGCACCGGCUAACUACGUG